rnacentral:rRNA from 1 species
CUAAAUACUACCCAGUGACCGAUAGCGUAUAGUACUGUGAAGGAAAGGUGAAAAGCACCCCGGGAGGGGAGUGAAAAAGAACCUGAAACCCUGUGCCUACAAGCACCUAGAGCGCGUCAAUGCGUGAUAGGGUACUUUUUGUAGAACGGUCCGGCGAGCGAUUGUAUGCAGCAAGGUUAAGGACUUAAGGUCUGGAGCCGAAGCGAAAGCGAGUUUGAAAAGGGCGUUAAGUUGCAUAUAAUGGGCCCGAAACCGGGUGACCUACCCAUGGUCAGGUUGAAGUGGAAGUAAAAUUCCAUGGAGGACCGAACCGACCUCCGUUGAAAAGGCGGCGGAUGAACUGUGGGUAGCGGAGAAAUUCCAAUCGAACCCGGAGAUAGCUGGUUCUCCCCGAAAUAGUUUUAGGACUAGCCUCAAGUUAGAUACCUGGAGGUAAAGCACUGAAUAGCCUAGCGGCCGAGAGGUUAGCGAAGCUUAUCAAACUCAGAAUGCCAGAGUAUUGAUGCUUGGGAGUCAGACAGUGUCAGAUAAAUGUCAUUGUCAAAAGGGAAACAGCCCAGAUCUACAGCUAAGGUCCCAAAGUCAGGUUAAGUGGAAAACGAUGUGAAGAUACGUAGACAACCAGGAUGUUGGCUCAGAAGCAGCCACUCAUUCAAAGAGUGCGUAAUAGCUCACUGGUCGAGCGUCUUUGCGCGGAGAAUUUAACGGGGCUAAACCUGACACCGAAGCUUAGGCAGCAUGUUUACAUGCUGGGUAGGGGAGCGUUGUAUACGCGGUGAAACAGUAGCGCAAGCGGCUGUGGAGUGUAUAGAAGUGAGAAUGCCGGAAUGAGUAGCGCGAAUGCAGUGAGAAUCUGCAUGGCCGAAAGCCUCAGGUUUCUGGAGGAAGGUUCGUCCGCUCCAGGUUAGUCGGGAGCUAAGGUGAGGCCUAACGGCGUAGCCGAUGCACAGACGGUAGAGAUUCCGUCACCACCAAAAGAGUUAAACACAGGGACACAUAUGAAGUCUCGGAGCCGGGUGUUGGUUCCGGUAGCGAUCGAGGGAAGUUAGUACCGAAGUCCGGGAUGGAAGAUGGCGAGAAAAGCUGUGUGUAUUUCUGCGGUGCCCGUACCGCAAACCGACACAGGUAGGUAGGAAGAAGAUUCUAAGGCCAACGGGAGAAGGGUUGUUAAGGAACUCGGCAAAUUGACCCCGUAACUUCGGGAGAAGGGGUGCUCCAGAGAUGGAGCCGCAGAGAAUCGGCCCAAGCAACUGUUUACCAAAAACACAGGUUUGUGCUAAAUCGAAAGAUGACGUAUACGAGCUGACGCCUGCCCGGUGCUGGAAGGUUAAGAGGAGAUGUGCAAGCAUUGAAUCGAAGCCCCAGUGAACGGCGGCCGUAACUAUAACGGUCCUAAGGUAGCGAAAUUCCUUGUCAGGUAAGUUCUGACCCGCAUGAAAGGCGUAAUGAUUUGGGCACUGUCUCAACAGCCCGCCCGGCGAAAUUGUAGUACCGGUGAAGAUGCCGGUUACCCGCGACAAGACGGAAAGACCCCAUGGAGCUUUACUGUAGCCUAAUAUUGGGUUUCGAUGUUGCAUGCACAGGAUAGAUGGGACACUGGGAAGCAGGUGCUUUGGCGCUUGUGGAGUGGCCGUUGGGAUACCAUCCUUGCGAUAUUGGAAUUCUAACCUGCGCCUUUGAAUCAAGGCGGGGGACAUUGUUAGGUGGGCAGUUUGACUGGGGCGGUCGCCUCCUAAAGAGUAACGGAGGCGUUCAAAGGUUCGCUCAGCUUGAACGGAAAUCAAGCAAAAGAGUGCAAACGCAGAAGCGAGCCUAACUGCGAGACUGACGGGUCGAGCAGUAACGAAAGUUGGAGUUAGUGAUCCGGUGGUAUGUGAGUGGAAAUGCCAUCGCUCAACGGAUAAAAGCUACCCUGGGGAUAACAGGCUGAUCUCCCCCAAGAGUCCACAUCGACGGGGAGGUUUGGCACCUCGAUGUCGGCUCAUCGCAUCCUGGGGCUGUAUUCGGUCCCAAGGGUUUGGCUGUUCGCCAAUUAAAGCGGUACGCGAGCUGGGUUCAGAACGUCGUGAGACAGUUCGGUCCCUAUCUGUCGUGGGCGCAGGAUAUUUGAUGGGAGCUGUUCCUAGUACGAGAGGACCGGAGCGGACGUACCUCUGGCGCACCAGUUGUUCUGCCAAGAGCAUAGCUGGGCAACUAUGUACGGAUCGGAUAAACGCUGAAAGCAUCUAAGCGUGAAGCCGACCCAAAGAUAAGAUAUCCCAUUGUUUCAAACAAGUAAGACCCCUUGAAGACUACAAGGUUGAUAGGCACGAUGUGUAAGUGGAGCGAUCCAUUCAGCAAGCGUGUACUAAUAGGUCGAGGGCUUGACCA